AUUGAACGCUGGCGGCAGGCCUAACACAUGCAAGUCGAGCGGGGUUUUCGGACCUAGCGGCGGACGGGUGAGUAAUGCGUAGGAAGCUGCCCGAUAGAGGGGGAUACCAGUUGGAAACGACUGUUAAUACCGCAUAAUGUCUACGGACCAAAGUGUGGGACCUUCGGGCCACAUGCUAUCGGAUGCGCCUACGUGGGAUUAGCUAGUUGGUGAGGUAAUGGCUCACCAAGGCGACGAUCUCUAGCUGGUUUGAGAGGAUGAUCAGCCACACUGGAACUGAGACACGGUCCAGACUCCUACGGGAGGCAGCAGUGGGGAAUAUUGGACAAUGGGCGCAAGCCUGAUCCAGCCAUGCCGCGUGUGUGAAGAAGGCCUUCGGGUUGUAAAGCACUUUCAGCGAGGAGGAAGGGGUGUGUGUUAAUAGUACACACCUUUGACGUUACUCGCAGAAGAAGCACCGGCUAACUCUGUGCCAGCCGCCGCGGUAACAC
rnacentral:rRNA from 1 species